UCCCAUUACAAUAAAGAAACUCAGGUCAUAAACAAACAUCAUCAUGCUGCAUCAACUCACUAAAUUUCCAUAUAUCUAUUGCGAUGAUAUGCUAAGCAUCAGUUUUAAAAAGCUCGAUUUUUUAGACAUCAGAGACCCCAGAGGAUCUCAGUCUAUGUAAUUGUUAACAUCACCUGCAGCAUAUCAUCGCAACUGACAAGCUCUAGAAGCAUCUCCUCAUUAACAUCAAAUGCUCGGCCUCCCAUUACAAUAAAGAAACUCAGGUCAUACACAAACAUCAUCAUGCUGCAUCAACUCACUAAAUUUCCAUAUAUCUAUUGCGAUGAUAUGCUAAGCAUCAGUUUUAAAAAGCUCGAUUUUUUAGACAUCAGAGACCCCAGAGGAUCUCAGUCUAUGUAAUUGUUAAC
rnacentral:lncRNA from 1 species